rnacentral:rRNA from 1 species
CACGGGGGGAGCGAACGUUGUUCGGAAUCACUGGGCGUAAAGGGCGUGUAGGCGGUUCGGUAAGUGGAAUGUGAAAUCCCCCGGCUUACCCGGGGAACUGCAUCCCAUACUGCUGGACUUGAGUGCGGGAGAGGAUGGAGGAAUUCCUGGUGUAGCGGUGAAAUGCGUAGAUAUCAGGAGGAACACCUGUGGCGAAGGCGUCCAUCUGGCCCGAUACUGACGCUGAGGCGCGAAAGCUAGGGGAGCAAACGGG